GACGAACGCUGGCGGCGUGCUUAACACAUGCAAGUCGAACGGAAAGGCCCUGCUUUUGUGGGGUGCUCGAGUGGCGAACGGGUGAGUAACACGUGAGUAACCUGCCCUUGACUUUGGGAUAACUUCAGGAAACUGGGGCUAAUACCGGAUAGGAGCUCCUGCUGCAUAGUGGGGGUUGGAAAGUUUCGGCGGUUGGGGAUGGACUCGCGGCUUUCAGCUUGUUGGUGGGGUAGUGGCUUACCAAGGCUUUGACGGGUAGCCGGCCUGAGAGGGUGACCGGCCACAUUGGGACUGAGAUACGGCCCAGACUCCUACGGGAUGCAGCAGUGGGGAAUAUUGCACAAUGGGCGGAAGCCUGAUGCAGCAACGCCGCGUGCGGGAUGACGGCCUUCGGGUUGUAAACCGCUUUCGCCUGUGACGAAGCGUGAGUGACGGUAAUGGGUAAAGAAGCACCGGCUAACUACGUG
rnacentral:rRNA from 1 species